ensembl:lncRNA
AGCGGCCUCAGCGCUCCGAGAUCUCGGGAGGCCUCUCUAACAGCUCAUCCUCGCGGGCGAAGGCAGGCGGAGAAGGGGAAGGGCGAGCCGGGCAGAGGGGGCCGCCAGAAGGAAGAAGCGAACCACGCGGGCGGGCGGGCGGGCGGGCGGGCGGGGUGUCACCAGCCGGUCCCCUCUCCUGCGCUUAAGGUAGGAGGCAUUGUGUCAGCCCCCCCCUCCCGGAGCAGCGGCGCCCGAGAGCGCCUGCCUUCGGCUUCCUCGGCUGACUCGGGGAAAACCCCCCCACGAAAUCUUCUCUUGGAUUUUUGAGGCAGGGAGAGAGGGAGAGAGACCGAGAUAGCAGAAGGGGAUCGUCUGCAGGGCGCAGACACCAGGCGCAAAACCAGCACGACUUCUGCAGCAGGAGAGGCGGAGAUUUCAAUCGCACAGGGCCUUUAGCAAUCAUAUANACAUCUCCUCAUCUAUCAUCUUGCUAUGGCAUCCGCACUGAGUGACAUGGGUAAAUGGAGAGUGACAAAGACAGGUGGAACAAGGAAAUGUGUUAGCCCUCGUUCGGCGCAAAUGCUACAUAUUGCUGGGACAUUUUUGUUUCAAGUUGCAGACGGAGGAACAUAUGCUGGGCCUUAUCCACUCAAGUUGUCUCCUAAUCAUGCAUCUGUCUCAGGAAAAAACAAAGAAAAGACUCCAGCUUUCUUUCUUUCUUUGAUGGACGAGGGAACCACUCAGAAGAGCUUAGCUGUACCUGGACCACCCCUUCCCCAUUUUAAGAGAAGUCUUUUCAGCACAAACAUCGUUUCUUCUCCGUGGUUCUUUGUUAGAGCUGGAGUGCCCUGUUCAGUAAGUUCAGACAGAUGGCAAUGACAUAUUUCAUACAGAACUCUGUAAUGUGGGUAAUGGUUCAGGUGGUCUCUGAGAAGGUGAAUGGUUCCUCCACCGUUUUCUCCCCUCCAAAUAGCUUUUGAUUGAACUGCUGGAACUGCCGUCUGCUUUGGAGGCAGCCCUUGGCCUUUUCCCAUGUCCUUGGGAUGCUUGUAAUUUUUUUUUUCUUUUUCUGAAGGCUGGAGCUCCCAAGAAGUAGGUGUCCAAGCUGGGGAGGUUACCAUAGUUUACAGAUGGAUCACUGAGGGUGAGAGACUACCAGUCAAUGUCUUCAAGGCAGUGAAUCCAGAAACACAGUGUCCUGAAGUCAAUGGGAUUUCUCUCCUACCUGCAAAUGUAAUGCUUUCAGUUUUUCAAAGAGAAUCACAAGAGGGACGAGUUGGGAAGCAGAGAGCAUAGCUCUGUGGCAGAACAUCUGGUUUGCACGCAACCCCAUGGAAGGCAAUGGCAAACUGCUUUUGUCUUUAAAGGUACCAGUGACUUUGACCCGACCCCAGCCCCUGGUGACUUUAUGGACACCUCCGUGCACUUUUCUUGGAGACAUUGUGGCAGGUUUGCUGAGCCUGUCAAGAUGUUCAGAAUCACAGAGAUUUCUUAGCUGACUGUCAGGUUGUUAGGUGGGUGCCUGCUAUUUCAGACAGGCCUUGUAUGGAUGGAUCUCUUCUUCAUUCCCAAGCCAUUAUUAUAUUUAUAUAUAUUAUUUACUUGAGGUCACAGUGUGGUGUUUACAAAAUAUAAAAUUAAAUAAUAAAUCAUAAGCAGAAAGUGAAAAAUCCUAAGGC